CAUUUUUGGAUAUUAAAAAUCAGAGCUUAUGACAAUGAUCGGGUGCAUUCUACCACUGGAACACUAACUGUCAUUUUACAGGAUGUAAAUGAUAACCCACCACAGUGUACUCAGGACCGUUAUGUAAUUGAACUUCCUGAAAAUCCACUUGAAACUCGUUUAGUGUCUUUAAUUUGUACUGAUAAGGAUGGAACGGAUCCCAAUAAUAACAUCACUUAUCACUUGAUCGUGGACAAAUUUUCAAAUGAAAUAUUUACCCUCACCAACAAUGAAAUAAAAAUUGGGCCUAAACAACUGAAUUAUGAUAAUUUUGUUCUUGCUGGGAUGCAAUUUAAAUAUACUCUUUUUGUAAGAGUAUCUGAUGGAGGCACUCCAGAAUUAUCAAAUGCAGACUGGCCAUUCAAUAACAUAAGAUAUACAAUUGAUGGAGGUAAUCUGGGGACAACUUCCAAAUUUUACAUCGAACCAAACACAGGAAUAAUAAAAUUGUUGGAUUCAUUAGACAGAGAAAUUCAAGCCCAAUACAAAUUAGUAGUAAGAGCAACAGAUACAGACAAUGACAUUGAACCCGAUCCACUCAGACAGAGAAGUAGUUCUGUUGUUGUGACCAUCAAUAUCUGGUAAAUAUAAGACUUUUAAAAAUUAAUUAAUUUACUUUUAGUUUUCAAC
rnacentral:lncRNA from 1 species